GACGUAGGCAGCGAGCGUUGUUCGGAAUUACUGGGCGUAAAGAGUGUGUAGGCGGUGUUCCCAGUCUGUUGUGAAAUCUCCCGGCUUAACUGGGAGGGUGCAGCGGAAACUAGAAUGCUAGAGGGUGGGAGAGGUAAGCGGAAUUCCUGGUGUAGCGGUGAAAUGCGUAGAUAUCAGGAGGAACACCUGUGGUGUAGACAGCUUACUGGACCACUUCUGACGCUGAGACACGAAAGCGUGGGUAGCAAACAGG
rnacentral:rRNA from 1 species